UCCUCUGAACAGUGACCAAUGUUAAUUUAUCAACAGGCCCAGGGCAUGACACCUCGAUACUGCGCUGCACCUGCCCUUUGGAGCCCUUGAUGAGCCAGUCAUCCAGAUAGGGAGAGAUCUGGACCCCCUCUUCCCCGAUGCCUGAGCAAACAGGGCCGAGCCGUCGAAUGGGAGGUCCUGGAUGAAUUGUUGGUCUUCUGCCGAGAGGCCAGAUGACUGCAGCCAUGACGCCCAUCUCAUUGACACCACCGAUGCCAUGGCUCUGUCUGUGGAAACUGCCACGUCUGAGGCAGCCUGGAGGGAGACCCUUGCAAUCGCCUUACCCUCAUCCAGCAUGGCACUGAACUGCUUAACGUCCUGCGGGAGCAAGUCAGCAAACUUGGCUGUGGAUUGUCAUA